UCACAAGCAGAAGAGGUUUUAUUUACUUCAUCUUAUAUUUACUACUGCACAGCGUCGCAUAGUACGUAUGCAUUCGAGUUUUCCCAAUCCUCUAUGGACAAUAUUUAGGUUAUCUCCAAUUUUCCAACAAGCUGCAGUGACAGUCCCCACACAAACAUCCUUUUGUAGAGCAGAGCAGUUUUGUGGGACAGAUUCCUAGAAGUGGAAUUGUUGGGUCAAAUUUUGGGAUACGGUAUGGCAUUUAUUCUCAUCUUUUUCUUUUGCUGCCAAGACUAAAGUGAAUAAACCACAGCAUCUGUACACGACUUUGUAGUUUCCUAAAGCUUUCACAUACAUGAUGUUACUUGAGCAUUUUAACAACUGUGUGAGUUUACAGAUGGGGAAGAUAAAGUUUAGGUAAGUUAAGUAAUUCGUUUGAGUCCUUUAGCUAGAAGGUAGAGCCAGAUUUGAAAACUAGGUCUUCUCCCUCCAGGUGUAAGGCCAAAAGUCUCCAGUGAAAGCACAGAAAUAAAUCACUAGGGUGAGAACAGGAAUGUGAACACACUUUCUUUGGGCAGCAGAGACCACCAAUCUGACCUGUUGGUGGAUGCUGGCUAGGGCACAGACAUCAACUGGCCUUCACCUUAAAAUCACCUUAACACCUUAAAAUCACCCUGAGAGCAUUUCAGGUGUAUCUUCAGAAACAAUCAUUGCCACUGUCUCCUGAGAUGAGAAGAGGCUCAAAAGAGUAUUGGUGAAACCCCUUGGCCCUGGAUACAGAGGAGAGGAGAAGCCAUAAGCUUUGCUAAUUAGACUUAACGGACAGGCCUCUAUGAGCAGAAGGGGUGUGUGUGUGUGUGUCGGGGGUGGGGGUGGGGGGUGGGGACACAUAAGGCACUUUUUCGUCUGGAGACAGAGGUCUCUGCUCUGCUGCAUUUCAACUUGCCAGUGGGUUUCUAGCACUGGCUGGGGCCCAAUGAAUAGCUGUGACACUCAGGAUGUACAAACAUCCUUUCUUCUGGCCUUGCAAACUACUUACUGAUGCUAAAGCAAUUAAGUCUUCUUUGGUUUAAUAGACAUUUAUCCAGCACCUACCAUGUGUAAGGCCCUGAAGCUACUGACUUAGUUUGGGCUGCUGUAACAGAAUACCAUAGAUUAGGUGGCAUAAAUUACAAACAUUUGUUUCUCACAGUUCUGGAGGCUGGAAGUCCAAGGUCAGAGUGCCAGCAGGGUCAGGUUCCUGGUAAGAGCCCUCUUCCUGGUUUACGGAUGGCUCCCUUCUCCUUGCUGUCUCCUCACAGGGCCAAGAACAAAAGAUCUGUUUCUCUUCUUUUUUUUUAACUAAGGGCAUGAAUCCC
rnacentral:lncRNA from 1 species